GGGGAGAGUGUCAGAUUAGUUAGGAUUGGGGGAACCCUGGUUCAGAUCCCCACUCAGCCAUUGGGUGACCUUGGGCCAAUAGCUCUCUCUCAACCUGAGCUACCUCACAGGGAGGUUGAGAGGAACAAAUGGAGAGCGAAACCAUGAACGUAGUACAUUAAAAACAACAACAACAGACUUCAGAAAAGAAAAUACGGGAGAGGGAAGACAGGCAAAUGGAAAUAUUGGAAAGCCUAGCUUAAUUUGUGUUGACUUUCACCUGUUUUCAGUGCCAGGGCUCAACUAUCGAAAAUGAAGUAGAAAUUGAUUUUGUUGCCUCUGAGCAGGUGCAGAGUGCCCUUUAUUUCACAAUGGAGGGCAGAACUACAUGUUAUGAUGCAUUGGAUUCUCAGUCCUGUGUCGAUUUGUAGGGGUGAAAUUGGCAAGUGAGAGAUAUUGCUUAACCCUUCUCCUGCCCACCAGUUCUUUCCUUCAGCAUAUCACCUCAACUGUUUUCCCCAUGGCUCCCUCUCACAACCAGCUUCAAGCCUGGAAAUAAACUGACGGGAAAAUGCCCUAAAAGGAGAAGCUGUGGGGGAUAAAUGGUGAGUGGGGGGUGUUAUAUACUCUCCCCCAUUACCUUUACUUGGCAAACAAAUGUUUGGGAAGCGCAGACUUCCUCCUGGCAAGGUUUCAUUCCAUUCUGAGCAACGGCAAGAAACACUUCACACACACAUCAAGGAACAGGCGGGAAAGCUUCCAGAUCAGAGGGUGUUGUUUCCAGACAGACUUCAACUCUGGCAUCUUUUUUUCCUAGAAAUCAGGAACCCAUGCGACCAAAGUAAAUAGAAGGCUGUAAUUGUGCUGCUUGACAUUUUCAGGCCCGGCAAUUGACAUUGCUGAAGCAGUCUGACACAAAUUCCACAGCCGAGAAAGACGUGUGGGGAAAUGCAUCACACAUAGAAGCGGCUGUGGGCUCCUGAUGCAAUCUGACCCUCCCCUUGUCAACUGCUGUGGGCACGACGCUUGCCUGCUUCUGGUUUAAAAAGAUUCAAGCUCUCCCGGGCGCUCCUCCCUUCUGAGCCGGCCUGCGUAAACCGAGCACAGCAGCAGGGGCGGGAAAGACAUCACUUUGGUUUGUCCAUCAGAAUUUGCUAGACGAGGGAUAUGAUCAAUGGCAGCUCUUUCGGGACAAGCCGUAUGGAGCCCCGUCCCACCCUGAUUCGGGGCAUGUGGCACGUAGACACAAGCACCCUUGUGCGCACGCACAUGUACACACACUGCUACAAAGCUAUCCUUGUAUAAACUUUAUCAGGAAGUCAUCUGGACAGAGUUUUCCAGACUGCUGUGUUUAACUCUUCCCUGAUGCUGGCCUGAAUUUAUACUGUCUGAUUAUUCCCACAGAUUAGACAGUCUGUUUCCAGUUGUUCCAGUUGUCUAUGAAUCGCUUCCAUACUCUGGCUGAUGAGCUAUAGUCCAGUAAGGAACUCCGGCUUUUCUACAUGGAUUUGGGCAAUAAUUUGGAAUGCACAUCUUUGGACGAGGUGUCAGAUUAUAGCACAGAUUUGGCUGAGUUGCACAAAAUUAAUGUUUGUUGAUUACAUUUGCACUUCGUCUUUCCUCUAAGGAACAUUUGAACCAGGGCAGUGCACCAACUCCAGCCGGAUCCUGAAUUGAAUAGGGCCGAUUUGGGUCAAUCUGGGAUUUGGCCAGAGCUGGUUGAAGCAGCCCUAGACAAGUCAGAUUGGGUCCACAUGGAGUAAUCUGAGGAUUCCAAAAAGUAGGUGGGUGGGAAGCAGAGAGAGUUGGAAAGUAGCAGACGGAGGGAGAGGGGAGAAGUAAUUGAGAUCACAUGGAGUCUGCCCCCAUCCUUUGUGGACUAAAUGAAAAUGAAACACGAAACAAUGAUUUGCAGAGCAGGAGAAGGAGCAAGUGGUGAGGCUGGGUGUGGUGAGCAGGUAUAUGAGGAUAGCAGAUCGAAGGAGCGUAAGGGCAUCUUUUAAGGGCACACAUUUUAUUUUAUUUUAUUUAUUUACUGCAUUUAUAGACCACCUUUUCACACUUGGAAGUGAUAUAUGCAGUUCUCCUCCUCCACAACAACCCUUUGAGGUAGGUUAGUUUGAGAGACAGUGACUGACCCCAAAUCACACCGUGAGCUUCAUGGCGAUUCAAACCCUGGUCUCCCAUGUACUAGUCCAACACUCUUAACUGUUACACCACACUGGCAGCAGAGAUACUAUGAUCAUAAAGGUGGUUUUCUCAGGGUGAGGCUCAUUUAUUAUACUGCGGGUGUGCUGACUCAUGCAAUUUAACUAAAUGCAAGAAACUCAACAUAUAACAUGUGUAUUACUUGGUGGAAAGGCCUUUACUUUUUAUUUUAUUUUAAAAACUCUAUUUUCAAAACCCUAAUUUAAAAGGCCUCAAAUUGCUUCAGGGCCCAGAUCCAAGUCAGAUUGGGACCUUUCUGAAGCACUGGAUCGGGCCUUAAAUCUGAUGAGGGCAGGGCAUGUGUACAGCCCCAGUUUUAACCUUACAACCCUCAACUGCUUAAAAAUAAAAGCAAGUGCAUGAGGAGCGCCAGUAGAACAUCUCCUGCAUAAUGUGCAGUUUGGUCCUCCAACCUCACUAGAAUUGCCUUGGCUUCUGGCAUUACAGUUUUCACACGUGGGAAUGCUGGAGCACAGGAACUCACGAGAUGUUCCUGAGUACCUGAGUUUAGUACCUGAGUACCUGAGUUUCUGUGUUUAGUAAUAGUAAGUGGUAUCCAUUACAGCUAGAUUACAUUUGUUGAUCUUUAACAUCUGAAUCCUUAGAAGGCAAAUAAACAGGGAAGGAAGUUCUUAGGAGUCUUUCGUUGUUUAUAUUUGUCACUUCCGAAAAUAACCACAUCUUGAGCAAAGACGUGCCUUGCUGGUCAUCUCACUCAUUGAUCAGCAGAGCAACAGACACAAAUGGGCCCAUGAAAAAACUGAUUAUGUCUUGCUACUCCCAACAAUUCCAUCAAAAAACGACAUGAAAUAAUAUAUAUGAUGAUGACACCACGAUCUUACAUGUUCUUUAAAGCCGUAAUAUCACCACAGGCAGCAGAGAACCUGACAUCUUGCACUGCACCUCACAAGGAAUCUGAGGCACUCAGCUAGGGAUUGAGUGGGUUGUGGAAUUCAGAGUUUAUCCUUUGCAAACAGGUGCAGAAAGGGUGUGUCACAGCGGGGGCUGACAUCCAGCUACAGUUACAGGCCAAACACUGACAUAUUACACCAGUUUAAAUUUGGAGGGAUUCUUUCCUGCCAAUUGGGUCCUUCUGGAUUUACAGCACUAAUUACAGCAAAGGUCCAGUAAUAGAAUGUUCACCUGGUUACAGUAGACAAUCUAGGCUCAAUUUUUUUACUGAGUCUUGGACUUAUCCGAUAGAAAGCUGCGUUUUACAAAGUCAGGUCAUUGAUUCAGCUAGUUCAAUAUUGCCCACACUGACUGGCAGCAGUUCUCCAUGGUGUAGUGGUCAGAAUGCCAGACUAGGACCUGGGAGACCUGGGUUCAAAUCCCCACUCAGCCACAAAACUCACUUGCUGACCUUGGGUCAGACUCUACGUUUCAGCUUGGCCUACCGCAUAGGGUUGUUUGCAAAAUGAAAUGAAAUGAAAGAGGGUUGUUUGGAUAAAAAGGAUAAAAGGCAAAUAUACUCUGAAGAAAUAAGCUUUUGCCCAUAGACUCCCAUAAUUCAUAGACACAUGCAUAUGUACCAGGCAUACAAGCCAUGGAUGCAAAACACUGACUUCAUAUUCAUAGUGCCCAGGUCAUCAGCUGUCCCUUUCUGAGAUGGAAAAAUCUAAUCUCUAGGGUCUCUUUUGCUCACCUUACCUGCAGAUAAUUUGGUCAAAUUUUUCUAUAGCCAGCUCAACAUUUGCAUAUCUUUUCUGAGAUAUCAUGCCAGAAUUUUACAUAGCAUUCAAAGUAUGGGCUGCACAUACAAUUUGUUUAUGCAGGAUCAACAUCUUCUUUAACAUAUUAUUUUUACUAGAAAUCUUUUUUUAAAAAAUGAUAUUUAUUAAAGUUUC